rnacentral:tRNA from 1 species
GCUUUCGUGGUGCAGCGGUCGGCACGCUCGACGCGUAACCGAGAGGUCCGUGGUUUGAUUCCCAGCAAGGGCA